rnacentral:rRNA from 1 species
AUGGCGAAAACCAUGCUGCUCCUGCUGCUCUGCGCGACGAUCGCGGCACACGCGCACGCGCAGGCGCCGACGCAGCCGGCUGCGGAGGAGACGCCGCCUGGGGCGGGCGUGAAGGUGUCGUUCCGGCCGAGCGUGGCCAUCGUGGUGGGCAUCUUCACCAUGAUCUUCUCCCUCACCUUCCUCCUCCUCAUGUACGCCAAGUUCUGCCACCCCGCCAACACGCCCCUCCUCCCCGCCACCACCACCGCCAGCCCCUCCCGCGCGCCCGCCCCCGACGCCUUGAUCGAGUCGGAGGCCAGCGCCGGCGUGGGCAAGGCGGUGAUCGAGUCGCUGCCCUUCUUCCGGUUCGCGGCGCUGCGCGGGGCGCGGCAGGGCCUGGAGUGCGCCGUGUGCCUGGCCCGCUUCGACGACGCCGACCUGCUCCGCCUGCUCCCCCGCUGCCGCCACGCCUUCCACCUCGACUGCGUCGAUCGCUGGCUGCACUCCAGCGCCAGCUGCCCGCUCUGCCGCGCCCGCGUCCACCCCGACGACGCCGACCUCGGCCUCAAGUACGCCGCCGCCAGCGCGCGCUUCGUCUUCGGAGCAGGCGACAACGCAGCCGCCGUUGGUGCCGCCCCCGCACCGUCCUCCGGCCGCGACCUCCUCGCAGGCAUCUUCGUCGAGCGCGUGCCGUCGGCGCGCUUCGGCGGCAUAGGAGACGCUGGCGCCGGUGAUGAUGCUGGUGCUGCUGAUGAGUCUAACUCUAAGCUGGACCGGCACCGGCAUCGCAUCGUGGUGUCGGACAGCGUGUUCAAGAGCCGGUGGAGCGACCUCAACUCGGCGGACCUCAUCGCGCUGGACACGGAGAUGCUGCGCUCCGUCUCCAGCGGCCGCUUCCCCUACCCCUACCCCGACGACGACAUUAUCUUCCUAGGAGACGAGCCGCCGGAGGAGCGCGGCCACCGAGACGAUCACGACGGCGCCGGCGUGUCCAUUGAGAUUGAGAGGAAGCGGCUGCUGGACGUGGAGAGCGGGAGCGGCAGCAAGGCGGCGCCCAGCCUGGUACGUGGACUUGGAGGGUGCGGCGGCUCCGACGCCGUGGAGCCAUCGUCGGUGCGCGCGGCGUCGAGGCUGGUGUCGUCGGGCGUGCGGUCUAUGUCGGAGAUCGUGCGGCUGCCUCGGGUGGCGGUAAGGACGGAGGAGGAGGAGAGGGCGCGGCAGCGGUGGGUGCCCAUCGCGCGGCGGACGGCGCGGUGGUUGGCCAGCCGGAGCAGGAGCAGGGAGGAGGACGUCAACGCCGCCGACCGCCUCCGUGUGUAA